UACAGAGGUGGCAAGCGUUGUUCGGAAUUACUGGGCGUAAAGGGCGCGUAGGCGGCCUCGUAAGUCCUGUGUGAAAUCCCCCGGCUCAACUGGGGAACUGCACAGGAAACUGCGAGGCUUGAGUUCGGGAGAGGGAAGCGGAAUUCCGGGUGUAGCGGUGAAAUGCGUAGAUAUCCGGAGGAACACCGGUGGCGAAGGCGGCUACCUGGACCGACACUGACGCUGAGGCGCGAAAGCCAGGGGAGCAAACGGG
rnacentral:rRNA from 1 species